rnacentral:misc_RNA from 1 species
AACAUAGAAGAAAAAAUAAUAUGGAUCCUCCAUCAACGAAGAGCUGGAGCAUCCAUACCCGAAAAGAGAUCACCGUCAAAUACGAAAUCUUCAAUCGGAUCGGCGCCGGAGCAUAUUCCGAUGUAUACAAAGCUCGAAGGAGAUCGGAUUCUGUCACCGUCGCUCUGAAAGAAAUCCACGAUUAUCAAUCUGCGGCUCGGGAAAUCGAAGCGUUACAGACGCUUCAGCAUUGUCCAAACGUUGUCGUUUUACAUGAGUAUUUCUGGAGGGAGGAUGAAGAUGCGGUGCUUGUAUUGGAGUAUUUGCAUACAGAUUUGGAUUGUCUUAUUAAGGAAGCGAAGAAAUGGGAAAAGGGAUUGAGUUUAGGGGAGAUUAAGAGAUGGAUGAUGCAGAUUUUAUGUGGAGUUGAUGCUUGUCACCGGAAUUCGAUUGUACAUAGAGAUUUGAAGCCUUCGAAUUUGUUGAUUUCUUCUGAUGGGAUCCUCAAAUUGGCUGAUUUUGGACAGGCUAGAAUACUACUGGCCCCCGGGUUUGUAGCUAAUGACAAUCAACAGCCGUAUGUACAAAGCACUCCUUAUCAGGGAACUGUGGCUGGUCCAUCACAUUUCAAACACAUAUCAGAUGUGUCUUCUGAAGGAGGUGUAUUUAUUGAAGAUCCAGGAUCUACGGUUCAAGCAGCCCGUCUUGGAGAGUCAGAUGAGCUUAGAUUCAGGCCCUUCGAUGACACUGAUAAAGAUAGUAAUAUUCAAGAUGGGGACACAUCCUGUCUAGCUACCGGAACCAUGAGUUAUGUUGAGGAAGAUCUCUUACCAGGCACAUAUUCGUAUGAUGUUGACGAUGGUGAGCAGGAUUGCUUUCCUCCACUUACAUCUUGUGUUGGAACUCGUUGGUACAGGGCACCUGAGCUACUCUACGGAUCCACUAGGUAUGGGCCAGAGAUUGAUUUGUGGUCACUAGGCUGUAUUUUUGCAGAGGUUUUGCGUUUGGAGCCACUUUUUCCUGGAAAUGCUGAUAUUGAUCAAAUAGGCAGAAUUUUAAGUGUUCUGGGGAACUUAUCUGAAGAAGUCUGGCCUGGUUGUGCGGAUCUUCCUGAUUACAAGCUUAUGUCAUUCGGUAAAGUAGAUAAUCCAAUUGGCUUAGAAGCAUGUCUAUCGAACAGGUCAAAUGAUGAAAUUCUUCUCGUCAAAAAGUUGCUAUGUUAUGACCCGGCUGGUAGAGCUACUGCAAUGGAAUUACUCCACGACAAGUAUCUAAACGAAGAUCCCUUGCCAGUCCCAUCGUCUGAAUUGAGGAUUCCCUCCAAACACAGCUCUGAAAAUGAUGAUUCACCUGAAGAAUUUCAUAGAGAUCUGAACUCCGACUCAGACUUUGAUGAUUUUGGCCCAACGAAGGUUUCAACCACGGAUCAUGGUUUCUCAAUUCAGUUUUCGUGAGCUAGGAAGUCCGUUUUUAUUUUUCAGAAUUUGUUCUCCAGACUACCGCGUGAUGAUCAACAUCAUCUUUUGCUGCAGACUAUUUAAACUAUGCAGCACUUCAUAUAUUUUGUUGGAAGAGAUUCUCAAGUUUUUGCAAGUUGUAACAAUUAUGGCGUCCAUUAUUGGAAUACCAAAUAGAGAAACAGAGACAUAUUUA